AUACUUACCUGGUGUCGAGUUCCUGAUGAUCAUUCAGGUCAGGGCUCCGUGCCGAGGCCAGCCAUUGCACUACGGUUGGCUGAAGCACGCCACUACCCCAAACCAGGGCAGAUGGGGCAUGUAAUUUUUGGUAGAGGGGCUCGGCGUGCGCGCCAGCCCCGC
rnacentral:snRNA from 1 species